CUAAGUUUGGGAAGAAAAAUAUGAAGCAAAGGAAUGGAGUUUGUAGUAUUCAUGGACUCAGUCCCAUAAGAAUAUGCAAGCCCAGUGCCAAAUGUCUCCACCCAAAUACCCGAGACGUUACUAAUUUGAUAAGAGUCCUUUUCCUGUUUUUUAUUGGCCUGUGCAGUUUCUCAAGCUAUCUGUACUCCUUUCCCACGAAGAGCAAUUUUAGUGGCACAGAACGUGUCUGCAAAGCAGAAUGAAGGUGUAGUUGCAGCACAGAUAUCUUAAAGAUUUGUUCCUGACUAAUGUUUCCCAGCUGAGCUUGUGGAAAAGACCCAAACCACCCCAAACCACCUGGGGAAAAUUGAAAUGUUAAACUCGAGCAAAAGGAUUUGGGUCUUUUAUUUCCUUCCUGUGCUGAGAGUAGAAUCAUCAGGUUUGAUCAAGGGGCAGCUCCAGAACUGGGCCCAAGUGGAGGAGAGUGAGCCCAGCCCUGCGUUGCUGAGAGACCCACUGCAUAAAACCAUUCUUUAUCAUCUCAAUAAGGCAUAUCUCAACACAAAUCCAGCAAGUAUAGCAGAGCAGGAGAAAAAUCAGCUGGUUUAGUACUAAACCAACCAUGUGGAGAUUUUUCCACCAUGCCAAGGGGGUCUCCAGAUUGACUUUUCUGGUUAUGUUACAUAAAGAACAUAAAGUCGUAUUAUAGCUGAGACUCUGUGCCUGUACUUCUGAGUCACUGAUGGACAAGAAUGGAAAAAAAAAACAUUGUCUUUUUUGUUAAAUUAGAAUUGUAUAAGCCUACUGCUUUCUGUCCUCAUUUUCUAUUGCUAUCAGUAGAAAAAGAGUAGAAAAUCCUCAAAACAUUGCACAAUUCAAAGUUAGCAAACCCAGAAGUUUAGAGGAAAACAAACCAGAUAACAAUAGGCCAAGCUGUGCUACUGGCCUUAGCACAGAGCUCUUCAUUAAGGCAAUCAGAGAAAAAUGGCAAGCUCUGUUUCUGGCCCACUCAAAAGUGUGAUGUCAGAGUGUUCAUGCUGGGCAGGUUAAUGUAGGAAUGCAGAGAAUCCUGCUGCAAAAUGCUUCCAGAGACAGCUUGACACCGUGAAAAUGAGUUACAAGAAAGGAAAUGCAUCAUCUUGUACCAGUUGGGUAUGAAGUUGUACUGUGAUAAGCCAUGGAGUUUUAUUGAGAAAGUACUAAUGAGCAAUAAAUGCCUGCAGUGAAAAGGGUAGCA
rnacentral:lncRNA from 1 species